UACGGAGGGGGGCUAGCGUUGUUCGGAAUUACUGGGCGUAAAGCGCGCGUAGGCGGCUUUGUAAGUUAGAGGUGAAAGCCCAGGGCUUAACCCCUGGAAUUGCCUUUAAGACUGCAUCGCUAGAAUCGUGGAGAGGUGAGUGGAAUUCCGAGUGUAGAGGUGAAAUUCGUAGAUAUUCGGAAGAACACCAGUGGCGAAGGCGGCUCACUGGCCCGGUUCUGACGCUGAGGUGCGAAAGCGUGGGGAGCAAACAGG
rnacentral:rRNA from 1 species